GGCGAUUUAGCUCAGUUGGUUAGAGCGUGUGCUUAACACUGGCAGCCCCUCCUUGGAGAGCGUUGCAGCGUUGCGCACAAGGUCGGCGGUUCGACCCCGUCAAACGUCA